AUUGAACGCUGGCGGCGUGCCUAACACAUGCAAGUCGAGCGGUAACAGGUGUAGCAAUACAUGCUGACGAGCGGCGGACGGGUGAGUAACGCUUGGGAAUCUGCCUAUUAGUGGGGGACAACCCGGGGAAACUCGGGCUAAUACCGCAUACGCACUACGGUGGAAAGCCGGGGACCGCAAGGCCUGGCGCUAACAGAUGAGCCCAAGUCGGAUUAGCUAGUUGGUAGGUAACGGCCACCAAGGCGACGAUCCGUAACUGGUCUGAGAGGACGACCAGUCACACCGGAACUGAGACACGGUCCGGACUCCUACGGGAGGCAGCAGUGGGGAAUAUUGGACAAUGGCGAAAGCCUGAUCCAGCGACGCCGCGUGGGUGAAGAAGGCCUGCGGUUGUAAAGCCCUUUCAGUAGGGAAGAAAAGCCGGGUGCCAAUACCACUCGGUCUUGACGUUACCUAAAGAAGAAGCACCGGCUAACUCCGUGCCAGCCGCCGCGGUAAG
rnacentral:rRNA from 1 species